rnacentral:tRNA from 1 species
GGUAUGUAUCUCAGUGGAAGAGGACUUGCUUAGCAUGUGUGAGGCCCUGGGUUCAAUUCCCCAAUACCA